GCGUGCAUUCAAAAGUGACUGCGGGCUGCCUGUGUCCUGGUCAUUGGACACGCAGGGAGAGGAACUGCUGAAAGGGUUUCCCUGUGUUAGGAAGGUCCGCCCCUGUCCCUGCCAAACCCUGGAGCACGUA